rnacentral:rRNA from 1 species
UAACAAACGACUCUCGGCAACGGAUAUCUCGGCUCACGCAUCGAUGAAGAACGUAGCAAAAUGCGAUACUUGGUGUGAAUUGCAGAAUCCCGUGAACCAUCGAGUCUUUGAACGCAAGUUGCGCCCGAAGCCUUUUGGCUGAGGGCACGUCUGCCUGGGCGUCACAC